rnacentral:rRNA from 1 species
GUUGCAGUUAAAAAGCUCGUAGUUGGAUUUCUGGUGGGCGCAUCCGGUCCGCUCCGCAAGGAGUGUGCACUGGUGAUGUCGCCGGCCACUUUUACAGCGAACGAUUCUGGCAUUAAGUUGUCGGGGUCGGGAGCUGUAUCAUUUACUGUGAAAAAAUUAGAGUGUUUAAAGCAUGCAUUUGCUGUGAAUACAUUAGCAUGGAAUAAUAAGAUAGGACUUUGGUGCUAUUUUGUUGGUUUGCACGCCAAGGUAAUGAUUAACAGGGACAGUUGGGGGUAUUCGUAUUUUGAUGUCAGAGGUGAAAUUCUUGGAUUUUCGAAAGACGAACUUCUGCGAAAGCAUUUACC